AGAGUUUGAUCAUGGCUCAGAUUGAACGCUAGCGGUAUGCUUAACACAUGCAAGUCGAACGGUAGCAGGCCUUCGGGCGCUGACGAGUGGCGGACGGGUGAGUAAUGCAUAGGAAUCUGCCUAUUAGUGGGGGACAACGUGGGGAAACUCACGCUAAUACCGCAUACGCCCUACGGGGGAAAGCUGGGGAUCUUCGGACCUGGCGCUAAUAGAUGAGCCUAUGUUGGAUUAGCUAGUUGGUAGGGUAAUGGCCUACCAAGGCGACGAUCCAUAGCUGGUCUGAGAGGAUGAUCAGCCACACUGGGACUGAGACACGGCCCAGACUCCUACGGGAGGCAGCAGUGGGGAAUAUUGGACAAUGGGCGAAAGCCUGAUCCAGCAAUACCGCGUGUGUGAAGAAGGCCUGAGGGUUGUAAAGCACUUUCAAUAGGAAGGAAUACCUACCGGUUAAUACCCGGUAGACUGACAUUACCUAUACAAGAAGCACCGGCUAACUCCGUGCCAGCAGCCGCGGUAAUACGGAGGGUGCAAGCGCUAAUCGGAAUUACUGGGGCGUAAAGCGUGCGUAGGCGGUUGUUUAAGUCAGAUGUGAAAGCCCUGGGCUUAACCUGGGAACUGCAUUUGAUACUGGGCAACUAGAGUUUAGUAGAGGGGAGUGGAAUUUCAGGUGUAGCGGUGAAAUGCGUAGAGAUCUGAAGGAACACCAGUGGCGAAGGCGGCUCCCUGGACUAAAACUGACGCUGAGGUACGAAAGCGUGGGUAGCAAACAGGAUUAGAUACCCUGGUAGUCCACGCCGUAAACGAUGUCAACUAACUGUUGGGUUCUUAAAGAACUUAGUAGUGGAGC
rnacentral:rRNA from 1 species